GAGUUUGAUCAUGGCUCAGGAUGAACGCUGGCGGCGUGCUUAACACAUGCAAGUCGAGCGAAGCACUUUACUUUGAUUUCUUCGGAAUGAAGAGUGAUUUGACUGAGCGGCGGACGGGUGAGUAACGCGUGGGCAACCUGCCUCAUACAGGGGGAUAACAGUUAGAAAUGACUGCUAAUACCGCAUAAGACCACAGUACCGCAUGGUAUGGUGGUAAAAACUCCGGUGGUAUGAGAUGGGGCCCCGCGUCUGAUUAGGUAAGUUGGUGGGUAACGGCCUACCAAAGCCGACGAUCAGUAGCCGACCUGAGAGGGU
rnacentral:rRNA from 1 species